UACGUAGGGGGCAAGCGUUGUCCGGAAUUAUUGGGCGUAAAGCGCGCGCAGGCGGUCGUUUAAGUCUGGUGUUUAAGCCCGGGGCUCAACCCCGGUUCGCAUCGGAAACUGGAUGACUUGAGUGUAGGAGAGGAAAGUGGAAUUCCGACGUGUAGCGGUGAAAUGCGUAGAGAUGUGGAGGAACACCAGUGGCGAAGGCGGACUUCUGGCCUAAUAACUGACGCUGGAGGCGCGAAAGCGGUGGGGAGCAAAACAGGG
rnacentral:rRNA from 1 species